CACGUAGGGUGCGAGCGUUGUCCGGAAUUAUUGGGCGUAAAGAGCUCGUAGGCGGUGCGUCGCGUCGGCCGUGAAAACCUGCAGCUUAACUGUGGGCUUGCGGUCGAUACGGGCAUCACUGGAGUUCGGCAGGGGAGACUGGAAUUCCUGGUGUAGCGGUGAAAUGCGCAGAUAUCAGGAGGAACACCGGUUGCGAAGGCGGGUCUCUGGGCCGAUACUGACGCUGAGGAGCGAAAGCGUGGGGAGCGAACAGG
rnacentral:rRNA from 1 species